CACAGUAAAAUCAUGUGAUAUUACUGUUCACGCGCAAGGAAAAAAAAAAGUUUGAAAACGCAAAACGUAAACGCCACAUUCAGUUGAAUCUAAACGGGUACUUGAUUUUGCUCUCUCUCAACUCUUAAUAUCUGCAUUUUUUACUGUAUCUUACUUUGUUUUAUGGGAUGGUGGUAAAGAUAGUAAUUUCAAUUGAGUUAGUGUGGUCAUGUGAGUGUGUCAUGAGUGAUGAGUGGUUCUGUGACUGUGUCCAUCAAUGGGUGUGAGGUGGUAUGUUUUUCACAGGUAGAUGCAAUGUUGUUUCUUCUCGUUGUGGUUAAUAAUGUUUUCUUCAGGUGCCUUGUUUUCUUCUUUGUUUGUGUCCUGCGCCACUUCUUGUAAGGUAAGUCUUUGACUUUUCAAACUUACUCCCUUUAUUCACCUACAGGUAGUUGUAGAUUUCCUCUAUCCCCACUUGCUGAGCUUCUAGGCCAAGAGCUUCACUCUUUACUUAAGAUAAGUGCUAACACGCCACUUUGUUUUGUAACAGCAUGCAAUAUUACUUCACUUGCUUUAAGAAUUUCACUUCUUCCCAUGGUAAACUUUCAGGAACUUUUUUUUUUUCCCACAAUACUUGUGAUGGCUAUUUGCUUUAGGUGUGGGACCCUAUUCUCCUUCAAUGGCAUUCAACCACUUUGUCUUCUUAGCGAUACAUCUUUCAUAUUUUCUUCUAUUUUUUGUUAUUCGCUUCAAGAGCUAUGAAUAUUUGCUUUGAUCCACAUUUGUUGAAACCCAAGGGCGGUGAGAUGAUGGUGGUGAAAUGGAGGGCUGGAGGAGAUCUUUGUUGGUGGAAAGCAUAAAUUUGCAGAGCUCAGCACCGUCCACUGUUCAAAAUGUGGAUUUAGGUGGGACGAAGUGCCAUCGCUAAAGGAAGAGGAAACCCGUCGACAAAGAGUAGAGUUGUUCCAUCGAUGAUGUUAGUGGAGGUUUGCGAUAGAUUGCCGCCCAUGGCCGUUGGACCAUCUAUACCAAUUUUGGCUAAACAAUGUUGUUGACGAAGAGGCAGGAACCUUCUUCACUAAGGAGUGAGGAUUUUGUUGUAAGAGAUUGUUCCCAAAUGUGGUGACAAGAUGUUGAAUCUGUUCUUUGUGCAAGCUCGAUAAAGUUGGAUGCGACGCUCACCUCGGUUGGCUCUUCCUUAGGAGAUCACAAAAUUUCUGCGAGGUUCUAACCCAUAAGGUUGAGUCAUUGUAAUUGAGGCUGAAUUUCAUAUUGAAAUUGACUCUCCAUUGAUUCUUAUAGUUGCAAAACAUGAAGGUCAAUUUGUAGUGCGGUUGUGCUUGAUCUUGAGUUGGCCAUCUAGUUGGAAGUAAAUUGUUCCCAUUGUUUAUUGUAAACUCGAAUGAGCGAAUUGGGUCCAUAUGAGGAGAUGAUGAUGAAAGGACAAAUUGGGGAUGAUUCAAUAUUUUAGUAGCUUUAUUGUUGGCCAAUUUGGUGAGAUCAUGUUUGCCAAGAUUAAUUUCGAUGAAGUCGUAGCCAUGAGCAAUAUUAUUAGUUGUCUUGGGAUAGCUUAUUUGAGAUAGGAUGGAGUUAAGAUAUCACUGGGCGAUGUAGUAUAAGGGUGUGAUGCAGCUGCUACAUUGGUUGGCAGCACCCUGUAUUGCAUUCUUACAAUGAACGCAAGUGAGAAUGAGAGUUACUGAGUGGUAGUCGCUUCUUGAUUCAACAAGCUUGAAAUGAAAGUGUAGGAAUAAAACUUGGAUGUCUAGUGUAGAGGUGCAUGGUGGUUGAGUAAGCCUUUAGCCCCCGGUAAUGCCGAUGAAUGAGUUAUCAGGUUGUUUGCAUAACCACUUAAUCAUUGUGAAAUACUAGGUGUUAGUAUCAUUGAGAGUAAGCCAUGUGUUCCAGGGCUUUGUGACUAGAAAUUGUUGGCGAAGUUGAGAUUGAUGAUUCCAUAGAGUGUUUUAAUUACAGUGCUAUCCAUCCAUGAUAACCCUUGCAUCUUGGGCCUUGAUAGGGCAAAUUAGACCAUGAUGGCAUGAGAUGAUGUCUUGUAAAAUAGCCGUUGUGUAUGUUAAAAUGAUGAAUGACCCAACUUGUAUGCGAGUAGGAGAUUCCUCUUUGCUGGGUGGCUAUAAAAGAUGUUCAAUAAAACAUCAUUGUAUUGAGAUGCUUUCGCUUGUGGUGAUGUUGCAGCUCCAUUUGUUUGAGAAUGAAGUCGUAAUUUUUUUUUUUUGGGAAAAUCAAAUUUGUUGUGGCAAGCCAAAGCUCGUUACCACUCUUUCUUGUCAUGCCAAUAGGAGUUGUUGAGUGUAAUGCUUCUCCAUUCUACAUAGAAUAAAUGUACUCUGGCAGACUAUGUCAUCGUUGAACGGGAACUUGCAAUUUAUUUGGAUGACUUUGGCUUAGGCAAUUGUGAUGCCAUCGUUAGGACUUUCAUCCACGAGGCUGAUCUCAUUACCAAUACAUUAUUUUUUGAGGUUGAAGCUGUUGCGGAUAGCAACAUAGAACUACAAUAGAUGGAACCAUGGCUGCCAUUAGUAACUUUGAACCAUUUUGGUUCAUCUCUCACUUGCGGCUUUGAAGUAAAGAAGAGAGUGAUUGCAAGCCAAAGUCCUAAAGAUGGUGACGUUGGAUGGGGACUACAACAUUGCUUCAACUUUUUCCUUCACCUCCUCUCUUGCUUUCCUUUUUUUUUUUUUUUAAUCCAAUUGUCUUGUAUUGAGCCCCAAGCUUUGAAAUUUCGAACUAGUUGAAGUGUGUAAUAUGGGCUGCUUCCUUGGAAACAUUUUCUCUUAUAUUUCACCAUUGUAGACAGCCCACUUAUGUAUAGAGCAACUCUUGUCUAGUUAUAUUGGUGCCACUUUGAGUUUGUACUAUCAUGGUUAGUAGGCACAAUUUGUAUUUUAUACAAAGAAACACAUAUACA